rnacentral:rRNA from 1 species
GACGAACGCUGGCGGCGUGCUUAACACAUGCAAGUCGAACGGAAAGGCUCCAGCUUGCUGGAGUACUCGAGUGGCGAACGGGUGAGUAACACGUGGGUAAUCUGCCCUGCACUCUGGGAUAAGCCUGGGAAACUGGGUCUAAUACUGGAUAUGACCUUUCUCCUUAUGGGGUUUGGUGGAAAGUUUUUCGGUGUAGGAUGAGCCCGCGGCCUAUCAGCUUGUUGGUGGGGUGAUGGCCUACCAAGGCGACGACGGGUAGCCGGCCUGAGAGGGUGAGCGGCCACAUUGGGACGGAGAUACGGCGGAGCCUCCUCCGGGGGCAACCAGUGUGGAAUAUUGAACACUGGGCGGAAGCCGUAUGCCGCGACGCGGCGUGACGGAGGAGGGGCGUCGGGUCGUACACAGGAUUCAGCGGGGACGAAGCGUAAGGCAGGGGAAUUACAGAAGAAGCACCGCCGAAUCAGCUC